rnacentral:ncRNA from 1 species
AUUAAAGUGAUGAGGGAAAGCAGUAGAUUUUAUCGGUAAGUUGCUAGAGAGGUAAUCAUCAGCUGAAAGAUUACUCAACUUAUACAAAUCGAAUUCGUUCCUGAACAGAAUAUUGAACAUAAUUCAAAAAUAUUCCGGUUCAUACCCGUUAAGUAUGCUAAGUGUACUCGUUUUAUGAGUAAACAAGGGUGGUACCGCGAUGCUUCGUCCCUUCU